rnacentral:rRNA from 1 species
UACGUAGGUUGCAAGCGUUUUCCGGAUUUAUUGGGUUUAAAGGGUGCGUAGGUGGCUGAUUAAGUCAUGGGUGAAAGCCCGCAGCUCAACUGUGGAAUUGCCUGUGAUACUGAUUAGCUUGAGUGCGGUUGAGGCAGCUGGAAUUGGUGGUGUAGCGGUGAAAUGCAUAGAUACCACCAGGAACACCGAUUGCGAAGGCAGGUUGCUAAGCCGUAACUGACACUGAGGCACGAAAGCGUGGGGAGCAAACAGG